rnacentral:rRNA from 1 species
GACGAACGCUGGCGGCGUGCUUAACACAUGCAAGUCGAACGGAAAGGCCCUGCUUUUGUGGGGUGCUCGAGUGGCGAACGGGUGAGUAACACGUGAGUAACCUGCCCUUGACUUUGGGAUAACUUCAGGAAACUGGGGCUAAUACCGGAUAGGAGCUCCUGCUGCAUGGUGGGGGUUGGAAAGUUUCGGCGGUUGGGGAUGGACUCGCGGCUUAUCAGCUUGCUGGUUGGGUAGUGGCUUACCAAGGCUUUGACGGGUAGCCGGCCUGAGAGGGUGGCCGGCCACAUUAGGACUGAGAUACGGCCCAGACUCCUACGGGAGGCAGCAGUGGGGAAUAUUGCACAAUGGGCGGAAGCCUGAUGCAGCAACGCCGCGUGCGGGAUGACGGCCUUCGGGUUGUAAACCGCUUUCGCCUGUGACGAAGCGUGAGUGACGGUAAUGGGUAAAGAAGCACCGGCUAACUACGUG